GCAGUCGAACGGCAGCACGGACUUCGGUCUGGUGGCGAGUGGCGAACGGGUGAGUAAUACAUCGGAACGUACCCAGAAGUGGGGGAUAACGCAGCGAAAGUUGCGCUAAUACCGCAUACGUUCUACGGAAGAAAGUGGGGGAUCGCAAGACCUCAUGCUUUUGGAGCGGCCGAUGUCUGAUUAGCUAGUUGGUAGGGUAAAGGCCUACCAAGGCGACGAUCAGUAGCUGGUCUGAGAGGACGACCAGCCACACUGGAACUGAGACACGGUCCAGACUCCUACGGGAGGCAGCAGUGGGGAAUUUUGGACAAUGGGCGCAAGCCUGAUCCAGCAAUGCCGCGUGAGUGAAGAAGGCCUUCGGGUUGUAAAGCUCUUUUGUCAGGGAAGAAACGGCUGCGGCUAAUAUCUGCGGCUAAUGACGGUACCUGAAGAAUAAGCACCGGCUAACUACGUGCCAGCAGCCGCGGUAAUACGUAGGGUGCAAGCGUUAAUCGGAAUUACUGGGCGUAAAGCGUGCGCAGGCGGUUUUGUAAGUCUGACGUGAAAGCCCCGGGCUCAACCUGGGAAUUGCGUUGGAGACUGCAAGGCUUGAAUCUGGCAGAGGGGGGUAGAAUUCCACGUGUAGCAGUGAAAUGCGUAGAGAUGUGGAGGAACACCGAUGGCGAAGGCAGCCCCCUGGGUCAAGAUUGACGCUCAUGCACGAAAGCGUGGGGAGCAAACAGGAUUAGAUACCCUGGUAGUCCACGCCCUAAACGAUGUCUACUAGUUGUCGGGUUUUAAUUAACUUGGUAACGCAGCUAACGCGUGAAGUAGACCGCCUG
rnacentral:rRNA from 1 species